AGAGCGAACGCUGGCGGCAGGCUUAACACAUGCAAGUCGAACGAACCCUUCGGGGUUAGUGGCGGACGGGUGAGUAACACGUGGGAACGUGCCCUUAGGUUCGGAACAACACAGGGAAACUUGUGCUAAUACCGGAUAAAGCCCUUACGGGGAAAGAUUUAUCGCCUUUGGAGCGGCCCGCGUCUGAUUAGCUUGUUGGUGAGGUAAAGGCUCACCAAGGCUACGAUCAGUAGCUGGU
rnacentral:rRNA from 1 species